rnacentral:lncRNA from 1 species
UCACAGGAUCAGACUUCAAAGUCAGGGACUAGCAGGUGCACUUCUCAAGGGCUGUGAAGAAGCUGCAAGGGACAGAUGACAAAGGGACAAGAUACCUAAUUCACAUGGAUUCUGAACAGGCCGAGGUUCUGAGGCUGAACACUGGCAAGGCCUGAUUUGCCUUUUAGUGGGACCAUGCCUUGCCAUCCAAGAGAGGAAAAAUGCAGGACAUGAGAGAACAAGACAGAACCAGGUUGUUUCUGCUCUUACCCAAGUGGUUGGGUUAGUUUGAUGGUGAUGAUGUUUUCAGGGUUGGCUGAUGGAUAGGAUGUUGGUUAUAAGCAAGAAAGAAUCAAGCUGAUUCAAGAGUCCUGACCCCAGGAAAAUGAUACUGAUGUUGCUAGGCAGAAAAGGGCAGGCCCUGCUUCUUAUGCUUCUUAUGGCAGAAGCAGGGGCCACGCUGAGGCUGUGGAGGAAGGCAGCCAAAAGCAUCCCAGCCUCACAGAAGCUCACAGCCACUCACAGUGGUACGGGAGACAGUUUGGGUCUGUUUCUGGUCUUGCACAUCUUGGGAUUGGGAAUUUGAUUGUGGCAACAUGGGUAUGAAUAAAAAAGGGGGUAUGUGUACAGAGAAGCUGGGAUCCUGGGUACCAGUGAACCUCCAGAGCUGUCUUCUACCUAGGAAGCCUCAGGAGCCUAGAGAAGGAAGGAAAAGUACCCAACCCUCAGAAGCCACACAGAUAGGCACCCUUCGACUUGCUGGUAUCGAGAGCAUGCCCUGUCUCUCAGCACAGAGGGAGAGGGCUGGAAGCACUGCUGAAGCCCAAGCUGGGCAGAAGCAGUCAGCAGCAUCGAGGGCUGUGAGCUGCGGCAUCUUCACACUAUAUUUGGGCCCACUUGGUCAUUAUAAACUCAUCUGAUCACUCAGCAAAGUAUACAGCGGGGAGUUUAUUUCUGAGCCUCUCAGAAUACAAGGGAGAGGAAGAAGAAGCGUCCCGAAGAACCUCCUUGGCGGUUGGUGGAGCCACAGAACACGGGGCAUUGACAAGCAUCAGAGAACAAACACCAAGCAGCCUUAGAUUUCACGAUCACUCCGAACAGGACAGAAAUACGGAAUACAGCCAGCGUCCACCUGGAAGAGUUCUUCCCAGUCACCACGAAGGGACAUGGACGUGGGUAAGGAACCAUAAUGACAAGGCAAGUCUCUUCCUCGAUUACUGCGACUG